AGACCGAACCGGACGGUCGCGCGAUAUCACGCCGAAAGGUAUUAUCGUGAGGAAAGUCCGUGCUUCACAGGGCAGGAUAACUGAUAACGUCAGCCGAGGGUGACCUUAGGGAAAGUGCAACAGAAAAUUACCGCCAUUUUGGUAAGGAUGAAAACGCGGGGUAAGAGCCCACGACGCGCUAUGGUAACACAGCGCGGGUGUAAACCCUAUCCGAAGCAACACCGUAUGCGAAGAUUUUUAUUUGCCCGAUAAGGCUUUUGCCGUCUUUGCAGGUGGCACGCAUUUGCGGAGCGUUCUGGUGACAGGACGCAAAGAUAGAUGACCGUCAAUAACAGAACACGGCUUAUAGGUUCGGUCGCUUU
rnacentral:RNase_P_RNA from 1 species